GGUACACACAAUAAUUUGUUACUAAUCUUGAGCAUAUAAUUAAAACUAUACUUAUAAAGUUAUAACAGUUAUAACCAUUCAGUGUUCUUAAACCAACCGUUCGAGAGUAUAUAAGUUUACAAAUUAACCAAACAAUAAAUCAACAAAAUACCAUAUUAUAUUAUAAUCAUGUACUAUAAACUUAUUAAUAUAAUAUCAUAUAUCACCUGUUGUAUUUGCUCACUUAAAAUAUCUUCUAUAACACCGGAAUAUCAAUAUAUAGACACGCCGAGUACACGAGUAACAAUUAUGUGAAUGAAGUUUUAAACAUUUUGAAAGAAUGUGAUCCAUGGGUACAUCCACGAUUGUUCAAGAAUGAAAUUAAAAACGUCCUUUUUACACUAUAACGAUAAAAUAUAUAUAUAUAUAUAUAUAUUGGAAAAUUAACAUUUAAUUAACUACGUCGUUGCUAUGACCAAAUAUGGAGAUUUAUGUUUUUUAACGACUAUGUGUAAUUCGAAUAAACUGAUUACUUUAUUAUUAAAAAAUAUUAUAAGUGGAUAAACAAGUAAGGUCUGAUUACAGCAGACGAUUUAUAUUCUUAUGACACGACUUAAUUCUAUUAAAAAAAAAAUUAGUCUCACCGAUUAUUUUUCAACUAGUAAAUGGAGCCGACGGAUUGAAAAUUUGAAAUUGUUGGGUUCCCAGACUCGUCGAUUUGAAAUUUAUCAUAUUCCAGUGAUAACCUAUACGAUAUUUACCUUCUAUAACUAUAAAGGUUAGAACAACCGCGCUCACACUUGCCCUGUUUUUUACGACUGCAGUGGCAUUUGUGGGAUGGUACCGGUGGAGGAAUCGCAAAAUUAGACGAGAGAUACUACAGUCUUGCAAAGAUUGCAAAAACAAUAACGAUGUGAGUGAUUAAAUAAUGAAAUAAUAUUAUCUUCUGAUAACGGUGAUGAUGGUGAUGUAAAAUAAUAACAAUAAUAUAACAACUAUCACGGAAUCAGCAAAAUAAUUGAUCGUUAAAUGUAUAUAAUAUAGGGCAAAGGAUUCGAUGAUCAAGUGACCAAAGAUAACUUGUCGGUGAUUCUAAAAGGCAAUCGGUUUGUAUUGUUUUUUAUCAAUGGGUUGAUUCUCCUUGGAUACUUCCUCAGAAUGUUACCGAACGGAUUCACUUCCCAUCUAAUCCUUUUCCUAAUACUAGUAUACACCUUUCACAUGCUAAUGUCAAAGUGUUAUGCGAUUAACGUAGUUUGGUGUCAUGGAAUCAUGUCCAUAAACGCUGACAUUGAUAUAACGUUAUUUCCAAAAUUAAGAAUUUUAAAAAUAUUUCACAUCAGCGCCAGCGGUGAAACAACGACACAGCAAUAAAAUAGUAUAUGCUUAUGAAAAUUAUAUAAGCCUGAAAAAACAAAUUGAGAAAAAUAUCAAAAUUUCCGAUGAAUUUGAAGUUAAAAUUGUAUACGAGUAAGGUCAAUAUUAUACUAUGUAAGUGAUGGUUAAGUAUUGAGAUUUGGCAGAAAAAAAUUUUACUAACAAAAAAUUAACACACAAUUGUGGAAAAAUGUUUUAACCAGUUUACCACCCCCCAAAAUGAAUCUAAAAUUAAUUAUAUUCAUUUGAUUUUAUAAUGUCUGUUUAUGUUUUUCAUAGUUAUUAUGAGCAA